UUUAUUUAGCCUUCAAACAUUUGUUUAAAAUUCCAUCCCCAGUUCCUGUUUUUCGUUUCCAUGUGGUCACGAAGGGAGCACUACUUUAUUUAGAACUCAGAUGUGAAUUAUAAAUAGCAUAUAAAUAGCAAACACAAACAAGAACACACACUGAUAAGGACUCUUGUUGCCAGAGCAUGUUUCUGUUUCCCUUGGUACUUCUGGCAAUUUCGAUUCCUAUUUUUUAAACACCUGUCUAUUAUGUUUUUGCACCAUCGUGACAUUUGCACCACGUCCCCCGCAGAAGUCGGUCAUGCGGCGUGUACAGCAGUAGUUUCAAAAUAUUGUCUGUGUUGCACUCACCUCUUUAUAGCAGCUAGAUGAAAGAAGCUAGUUGAGCUGUGGGAUAGAUUUAUGUCCCAGGCUAUUGAACUCUAUUCUCUCCAGAGGGAUGUUAUACUAGCUAUGGAUCACUGGCUUGUAGCUAUAGAUCUUAAAUGCCCUAUGAACAGUGUACUUUACUCAUAGCAAUCACGGAUAAAUCAACCCGUUCUAUUUAAAAGGCUUCUCUUGUUCUAUUAAACUGCUUAUAAUAAUGAAAUCGCUGUGUACUAACGUUUUUUUACACAGCCAGUGUCUAGUAACUCAUAAUGAUAGGUGACUAUGCAGAGCUAUUCAAAGUUGGAUAUUCCGUUGAAGGACACAAGGUUUUGCUGGGCUGAAUGAAGUUUACGGUCUAUGAGAAAUCAUCGUUCUCUUCAAAAAGAGGAGACACAGCACUUGGGACUCAUUUUCUUCCGUGCGCAUUCACGUCAGAAGAGAUGUCAAGCACACGCUGCGAGAUAAGCAAGUCCCAUUCACGGGGAUUUAAGCUUCACGAAAGUGAGAUUUAGCAAAGUGAGUGAUUGCAGUAAUAAUGUGAAAUGUGUAACAUAUUUAAAAAUCUUGUAUAGCAAGACUGUGCUCGUUUGUGGCUUUGAUAAAGCAACUCCAGAACUGUGUCAUCGGUGUACGUUUUUGUUUUGCUUGUUUUGGAGCCUGUGGUCCUCUAUUGUUGUUCAUUUAAUAAAGUUUAAUGUAUUUAA